AACGAACGCUGGCGGCAUGCCUAAUACAUGCGAGUCGAACGAUCACUUCGGUGGUAGUGGCGCACGGGUGCGUAACGCGUGGGAAUCUGCCCUUGGGUUCGGAAUAACGUCGGGAAACUGACGCUAAUACCGGAUGAUGACGUAAGUCCAAAGAUUUAUCGCCCAGGGAUGAGCCCGCGUAGGAUUAGCUAGUUGGUGGGGUAAAGGCCUACCAAGGCGACGAUCCUUAGCUGGUCUGAGAGGAUGAUCAGCCACACUGGGACUGAGACACGGCCCAGACUCCUACGGGAGGCAGCAGUAGGGAAUAUUGGACAAUGGGGGCAACCCUGAUCCAGCAAUGCCGCGUGAGUGAUGAAGGCCUUAGGGUUGUAAAGCUCUUUUACCCGGGAUGAUAAUGACAGUACCGGGAGAAUAAGCACCGGCUAACUCCGUGCCAGCCGCCGCCGUAA
rnacentral:rRNA from 1 species